GAUGAAGAACGCAGCGAAAUGCGAUAAGUAAUGUGAAUUGCAGAAUUCAGUGAAUUAUCGAAUCUUUGAACGCACAUUGCGCCCCCUGGUAUUCCGGGGGGCAUGCCUGUUCGAGCGUCAUUUCACCACUCAAGCCUCGCUUGGUAUUGGGCAUCGCGGUCCGCCGCGCGCCUCAAAUCGACCGGCUGGGUCUUCUGUCCCCUAAGCGUUGUGGAAACUAUUCGCUAAAGGGUGUUCGGGAGGCUACGCCGUAAAACAACCCCAUUUCUAAGGUUGACCUCGGAUCAGGUAGGGAUACCCGCUGAACUUAAGCAUAUCAAUAAGCGGAGGA
rnacentral:misc_RNA from 1 species